rnacentral:rRNA from 1 species
CAUGCGCCGCCUACCAUGCAAGUCGAGCGGUAGAGAGGUGCUUGCACCUCUUGAGAGCGGCGGACGGGUGAGUAAUGCCUAGGAAUCUGCCUGGUAGUGGGGGAUAACGCUCGGAAACGGACGCUAAUACCGCAUACGUCCUACGGGAGAAAGCAGGGGACCUUCGGGCCUUGCGCUAUCAGAUGAGCCUAGGUCGGAUUAGCUAGUUGGUGAGGUAAUGGCUCACCAAGGCGACGAUCCGUAACUGGUCUGAGAGGAUGAUCAGUCACACUGGAACUGAGACACGGUCCAGACUCCUACGGGAGGCAGCAGUGGGGAAUAUUGGACAAUGGGCGAAAGCCUGAUCCAGCCAUGCCGCGUGUGUGAAGAAGGUCUUCGGAUUGUAAAGCACUUUAAGUUGGGAGGAAGGGCAGUUACCUAAUACGUAAUUGUUUUGACGUUACCGACAGAAUAAGCACCGGCUAACUCUGUGCCAGCAGCCGCGGUAAUACAGAGGGUGCAAGCGUUAAUCGGAAUUACUGGGCGUAAAGCGCGCGUAGGUGGUUCGUUAAGUUGGAUGUGAAAGCCCCGGGCUCAACCUGGGAACUGCAUUCAAAACUGUCGAGCUAGAGUAUGGUAGAGGGUGGUGGAAUUUCCUGUGUAGCGGUGAAAUGCGUAGAUAUAGGAAGGAACACCAGUGGCGAAGGCGACCACCUGGACUGAUACUGACACUGAGGUGCGAAAGCGUGGGGAGCAAACAGGAUUAGAUACCCUGGUAGUCCACGCCGUAAACGAUGUCAACUAGCCGUUGGGAGCCUUGAGCUCUUAGUGGCGCAGCUAACGCAUUAAGUUGACCGCCUGGGGAGUACGGCCGCAAGGUUAAAACUCAAUGAAUUGACGGGGCCCGCACAAGCCGUGGAGCAUGUGUUUAAUUCGAAGCAACGCGAAGAACCUUACUCAGGCCUUGACAUUCAAUGAACUUUCAGAGAAUGGAUUGGUGCUUCGGGAGCAUGAAGACAGUGCUGCAUGCUGUCGUCAGCUCGUGUCGUGAGAAUGAUGGGUAAGUCCCGUACGAGCGCACCAUGUCUAGUACUAGCCACGUAUGAUGGUCACUCUAAGAAACUGCGGUGACUACGAGAGUGGGAUGACUCAGUCAUCAUGCUACGGCCUGGGCUAGCACUGCUACAUGGUCGUACGAGCUGCAGUCGCAGUGAGCUAUCCAAAAUGAUCGUAUCGAUCGAUUGACCGACUGCUGAGUCGAUCCUGAUCGGAUCGAGUUCCGAGU